rnacentral:rRNA from 1 species
GCUGUUGGAGUGCACGUCCAAGCAGUGAGAUUGAGUGUUAGGCAAAUCCGGCACUCUUAAGAUUGAGCUGUGAUGGGGAGAGGAACUUGUUCCUCGAGUCGUUGAUUUCACACUGCCGAGAAAAGCCUCUAGCUAGAAUAACGGUGCCCGUACCGCAAACCGACACAGGUAGUCAAGAUGAGAAUUCUAAGGUGAGCGAGCGAACUCUCGUUAAGGAACUCGGCAAAAUGACCCCGUAACUUCGGGAGAAGGGGUGCUCUUUGAGGUUCACGCUUCGAAGAGCCGCAGUGAAUAGGCCCAAGCGACUGUUUAUCAAAAACACAGGUCUCUGCUAAACCGUAAGGUGACGUAUAGGGGCUGACGCCUGCCCGGUGCUGGAAGGUUAAGAGGAGUGGUUAGCGCAAGCGAAGCUACGAAUCGAAGCCCCAGUAAACGGCGGCCGUAACUAUAACGGUCCUAAGGUAGCGAAAUUCCUUGUCGGGUAAGUUCCGACCCGCACGAAAGGCGUAACGAUUUGGGCACUGUCUCAACGAGAGACUCGGUGAAAUCAUAGUACCGGUGAAGAUGCCGGUUACCCGCGACAGGACGGAAAGACCCCGUGGAGCUUUACUGUAGCCUGAUAUUGAAAUUCGGUACAGUUUGUACAGGAUAGGUAGGAGCCUUAGAAGCGUGAGCGCUAGCUUACGUGGAGGCAUUGGUGGGAUACUACCCUAAUUGUAUUGGAUUUCUAACCCGCAGCACUUAUCGUGCUGGGAGACAGUGUCAGGCGGGCAGUUUGACUGGGGCGGUCGCCUCCUAAAGAGUAACGGAGGCGCUCAAAGGUUCCCUCAGAAUGGUUGGAAAUCAUUCAUAGAGUGUAAAGGCAUAAGGGAGCUUGACUGCGAGACCUACAAGUCGAGCAGGGUCGAAAGACGGACUUAGUGAUCCGGUGGUUCCGCAUGGAAGGGCCAUCGCUCAACGGAUAAAAGCUACCCCGGGGAUAACAGGCUUAUCUCCCCCAAGAGUUCACAUCGACGGGGAGGUUUGGCACCUCGAUGUCGGCUCAUCGCAUCCUGGGGCUGUAGUCGGUCCCAAGGGUUGGGCUGUUCGCCCAUUAAAGCGGUACGCGAGCUGGGUUCAGAACGUCGUGAGACAGUUCGGUCCCUAUCCGUCGUGGGCGUAGGAAAUUUGAGAGGAGCUGUCCUUAGUACGAGAGGACCGGGAUGGACAUACCUCUGGUGUACCAGUUGUCGUGCCAACGGCAUAGCUGGGUAGCUAUGUAUGGACGGGAUAAGUGCUGAAAGCAUCUAAGCAUGAAGCCCCCCUCGAGAUGAGAUUUCCCAACUUC